UUGUACGGACAGCCUCAUUAUUAAGGUAUCACAAUUACACAGUAUAUGUGUCAUAAUUUGUAUUUUGGAAGAACCUCAAAUAAAUUAUUUAAAUUUUAUGCCUAUCAUAUUGGUAGACGUGAAAUUCAAGCAGUCCAGAUUCUAGAUGGUCCUCCACUUUUAUUUGUGUAUAGCUAUAUACUCAAUCAAGGCCAAAAAUCCGUUUCACCCUUUUGCACUAACAUUGAUGUACAUUUAAAAUGACGGUUUGAUCUAGACUGAGAUUUGACAACCGUUGAUUAUUGGCACUUAUUUCAAUCUCUAUUUUCCGUCUCUAUUUCUCAAUCUCAAUCUUCCUUCUAAACACAGCAUUAAAUUCUCAUCCACUAUUGGUCUUAGUCAAUUUUCUAACACAGAUGCAUCUAUUGCAGGGCAAGGAAUUUUCCCACUUCAACUAUAGCGUUGCGUGCCUCUUUGACCUGUUUAGUGGAGCGUGAGAGGCAGCUGAGAAGAAUUGCGCAUGGCGAACAGGCCCAGUGGACCAAAAACAGGGUCAUAGUAACAUCCGAAUUAUAUAGCUCUCCCUUUUUCGUAUUCUAAAGUACUUAUUUGGGUUUACUGACUAAAAAUACAGAUAUUGGGCUUUAGACUCAUAGCGUUAGACCACACAAAAUUUUUGUGAUCGCACAAGCUCCCCCAACACCCGUCCAUAGCAUGACUGGAAAUGACAGAAGGUGAAGCUGCAAAUCAGGUUCAAUUUUGGGACGGAUUUCAUAGCUACCAAUUGAUCCUGUAAAUUGUAGUCAUUGACACCUCUCCCUUCCUCGCGCUCUCCAUCUCGCAACAAUUGCAGCAGCAGCGUUCUCUCAUCUCUCUCGAUCAGAUAGCAUUGUCAGAUUGGAGUUCAACUUUAAUGUUUCAGGACCAUAUCAGGGAAUCGGGCUAGUCGUAGCAGGAGGGGCGUCUCGGCGUCAGGGACCAAAGCAGCGCAGUCAACAAUGUCAGGAUGACAUCAGAGACACCAGCGUCAGAGUAACUCAUCGUCUAGCAACAGGACGAGCGGUUUCAUAACUUCACUUUUGAUACCAAUUCUUUGUUCGGUAGCAGAGCAUUAUGAGCAGAAGAUAAAAUGCAUAAAAUUAGAGUCAAAAUGUGAGAAAUAGGUUCAACCAAGGUUGCAAGAACCACAUCGAUCAAUGAACC
rnacentral:lncRNA from 1 species